AUACAGGACCAUCUCUCAAAUGCCA
rnacentral:siRNA from 1 species